rnacentral:rRNA from 1 species
AACGAACGCUGGCGGCAUGCCUAACACAUGCAAGUCGAACGAGACCUUCGGGUCUAGUGGCGCACGGGUGCGUAACGCGUGGGAACCUGCCCUUAGGUUCGGAAUAACUCCCCGAAAGGGGUGCUAAUACCGGAUAAUGUCUUCGGACCAAAGAUUUAUCGCUUUUGGAUGGGCCCGCGUUGGAUUAGCUGGUUGGUAGGGUAAAAGCCUACCAAGGCGACGAUCCAUAGCUGGUCUGAGAGGAUGAUCAGCCACACUGGGACUGAGACACGGCCCAGACUCCUACGGGAGGCAGCAGUGGGGAAUAUUGGACAAUGGGCGAAAGCCUGAUCCAGCAAUGCCGCGUGAGUGAUGAAGGCCUUAGGGUUGUAAAGCUCUUUUACCCGGGAUGAUAAUGACAGUACCGGGAGAAUAAGCUCCGGCUAACUCCGUG